AUGAUGGGAAUUUAAACCUCUUCCAGAGUAUCAAUUGGAGGGCAAGUCUGGUGCCAGCAGCCGCGGUAAUUCCAGCUCCAAUAGCGUAUAUUAAAAUUGUUGCAGUUAAAAAGCUCGUAGUUGAAUUUCUGCUGCAUUACAUAUCUCUUGUUUGAGUUUGUUUUUGUGGCUUAUUUCGGUUUGAUUUUUUCUUUCCGGAUGAUUACUUUGAGAAAAUUAGAGUGCUCAAAGCAGGCUUUUGCCUUGAAUAGUUUAGCAUGGAAUAAUAAAGUAGGACUUUGGUUCUAUUUUGUUGGUUUUAGGUACCAAAGUAAUGGUUAAUAGGAACAGUUGGGGGCAUUCGUAUUUAACUGUCAGAGGUGAAAUUCUUAGAUUUGUUAAAGACGAACUACUGCGAAAGCAUUUGCCAAGGAUGUUUUCAUUAAUCAAGAACGAAAGUUAGGGGAUCGAAGACGAUCAGAUACCGUCGUAGUCCUAACCAUAAACUA
rnacentral:rRNA from 1 species